CUGCACAGCGCAGGGAGCGAGCAACCCCAAGCCGUUGAGAUGAAAAGGAAACAUCCUACAAACUUCUGCCUUGCUCAAGCUGUGAAUCUGCCAGUUGCGUGGUGAAAUAACGUGUGUGGACAUAGGACAUUAUUUCGGCCUGCGUCUUCAGGCGAAGCGAUAAGAAUUUCAGGACCUCUGGUAUCCCAAUUAUCCUCAAGUCUACCAAGGCCUAUGAGAUCGACCAAAAAUCGUCCCGCGAUCG